ACGGCUCAGUAACACGUGGAUAACAUGCCCUAAGGUGGGGGAUAAUCUCGGGAAACUGAGGGUAAUACCCCAUAGGUCUGAUAUGCUGGAAUGCUUUCAGGCCGAAAACUCCGGUGCCUUAGGAUUGGUCUGCGGUCUAUCAGGCUGUAGUGGGUGUAACGGACCCACUAGCCCGUGACGGAUAUGGGCCUUGAGAGAGGGAGCCCAGAGAUGGACUCUGAGACAUGAGUCCAGGCCCUACGGGGCGCAGCAGUCGCGAAAACUUCGCAAUGGGGGCAACCCCGACGAGGGAAUUCCAAGUGCCAGCACUUUGUGUUGGCUGUUCUCCUGUCUAAAAAACAGGAGGAGUAAGGGGCGGGUAAGACGGGUGCCAGCCGCCGCGGUAAUACCCGCGCCCCAAGUGGUGGUCGAUAUUAUUGAGCCUAAAACGUCCGUAGCCGGUCUUCUAAAUCCUUGGGUAAAUCGGGCAGCUCAACUGUCCGAACUCCGGGGAGACUGGGAGACUUGGGACCGGGAGAGGUCAGAGGUACUUCUGGGGUAGGGGUAAAAUCCUGUAAUCCUGGAAGGACCACCGGUGGCGAAGGCGUCUGACUAGAACGGAUCCGACGGUGAGGGACGAAGCCCUGGGGCGCAAACGGGAUUAGAUACCCCGGUAGUCCAGGGUGUAAACGCUGCGGGCUUGGUGUUGGGGGUCCUUAGUGGGCGCCCAGUGCCGGAGAGAAGUUGUUAAGCCUGCUGCUUGGGGAGUAUGUCCGCAAGGAUGAAACUUAAAGGAAUUGGCGGGGGAGCAC
rnacentral:rRNA from 1 species